CUUCCCUCGAUUUGGCAGACGUGCAUGUUUUCUAGUACACAGUGCUGGUUAAACUUUCGUGACUAGAUUACAUGCUCGUCUGUUAGGUUGAGAUCG
rnacentral:pre_miRNA from 1 species